rnacentral:lncRNA from 1 species
AAUGUUGGAUGCCGAAGGUGAGAUGAAAAUUGUGUUUGCUGAGUUACAGGAAAUUUGAAGACUACAAAUGUUAUGGCUACACAUUGGGACCUUGCAAAAUUUUAUAGCGAAGUUACAUCCGAAGUACUUUGGAUUCCUAACAAAUUUCUGUCACUGGCCACAUAAGUAGUAGAGAUUUUCAUGUGUAGCUUGUUCAUAAAAUUUGUUUUUAAAAAUUGUACCCUCAAACAAGCCAGCAAAAUUACAGGAAAAGGAUUUGGUAAAAAGUUCAGCUUUGGCUAAGAAACAAAAUGCUUUUA